rnacentral:rRNA from 1 species
GUCUAUGGCCAUACCACCCUGAAUGCACCCGAUCUCGUCUGAUCUCGGAAGCUAAGCAGGGUCGGGCCUGGUUAGUACUUGGAUGGGAGGAAAUGUCUAUCAAGAUGUUUUCUUGCUGUAGGUG